rnacentral:tRNA from 1 species
GGUCCUAUGGUGUAGCGGUUAGCACUCAGGACUCUGAAUCCUGAGACGGGAGUUCAAAUCUCCCUGGGAUCU